rnacentral:rRNA from 1 species
GACGAACGCUGGCGGCGUGCCUAAUACAUGCAAGUUGAGCGCUGAAGGUUGGUACUUGUACCAACUGGAUGAGCAGCGAACGGGUGAGUAACGCGUGGGGAAUCUGCCUUUGAGCGGGGGACAACAUUUGGAAACGAAUGCUAAUACCGCAUAAAAACUUUAAACACAAGUUUUAAGUUUGAAAGAUGCAAUUGCAUCACUCAAAGAUGAUCCCGCGUUGUAUUAGCUAGUUGGUGAGGUAAAGGCUCACCAAGGCGAUGAUACAUAGCCGACCUGAGAGGGUGAUCGGCCACAUUGGGACUGAGACACGGCCCAAACUCCUACGGGAGGCAGCAGUAGGGAAUCUUCGGCAAUGGACGAAAGUCUGACCGAGCAACGACGCGUGAGUGAAGAAGGUUUUCGGAUCGUAAAACUCUGUUGGUAGAGAAGAACGUUGGUGAGAGUGGAAAGCUCAUCAAGUGACGGUAACUACCCAGAAAGGGACGGCUAACUACGUG